AACGUAGGACGCAAGCGUUAUCCGGAGUUACUGGGCGUAAAGCGCGCGCAGGCGGUCCUUUAAGUCUGAUGUGAAAGCCCUCGGCUCAACCGAGGAAGGUCAUUGGAAACUGGAGGACUUGAGUGCAGAAGAGGAAAGUGGAAUUCCAAGUGUAGCGGUGAAAUGCGUAGAGAUUUGGAGGAACACCAGUGGCGAAGGCGACUUUCUGGUCUGUAACUGACGCUGAGGCGCGAAAGCGUGGGGAGCAAACAGG
rnacentral:rRNA from 1 species